rnacentral:rRNA from 1 species
CCUACGGGAGACAGCAGUGGGGGAUAUUGCACAAUGGGGGAAACCCUGAUGCAGCGACGCCGCGUGAGUGAAGAAGUAUUUCGGUAUGUAAAGCUCUAUCAGCAGGGAAGAAAAUGACGGUACCUGAUUAAGAAGCCCCGGCUAACUACGUGCCAGCAGCCGCGGUAAUACGUAGGGGGAAAGCGUUAUCCGGAUUUACUGGGUGUAAAGGGGGCGUAGACGGCAGCACAAGUCUGGAGUGAAAUGCCGGGGCUUAACCCCGGAACUGCUUUGGAAACUGUGCAGCUAGAGUGCAGGAGAGGUAAGUGGAAUUCCUAGUGUAGCGGUGAAAUGCGUAGAUAUUAGGAGGAACACCAGUGGCGAAGGCGGCUUACUGGACUGUAACUGACGUUGAGGCUCGAAAGCGUGGGGAGCAAACAGGAUUAGAUACCCGUGUAGUC